rnacentral:rRNA from 1 species
UACGUAGGGUGCGAGCGUUGUCCGGAAUUAUUGGGCGUAAAGAGCGUGUAGGCGGCCAGGUAGGUCUGCUGUGAAAACUCGAGGCUCAACCUCGAGAUGUCGGCGGAAACCAUCUGGCUAGAGUCCGGAAGAGGAAAGUGGAAUUCCUGGUGUAGCGGUGAAAUGCGCAGAUAUCAGGAAGAACACCCGUGGCGAAGGCGGCUUUCUGGGACGGUACUGACGCUGAGACGCGAAAGCGUGGGGAGCGAACAGG